rfam:Selenihalanaerobacter shriftii strain ATCC BAA-73 genome assembly, contig: EI55DRAFT_scaffold00027.27
GCGGAAAUAGCUCAGUGGUAGAGCGUCUCGUUGCCAACGAGAAGGUCGCGAGUUCAAAUCUCGUUUUCCGCU